ensembl:misc_RNA Y_RNA Y RNA
GGGUGGUCCAAGUGCAGUCUGUUUACAACUAAUUGAUUACAAUCAGUUAAAGAUUCUGUUGUUCUUUCUUCACUCCCACUGCUUUACUUGACUAGACUUAA